GGCUCACUGGAUAGCUCAGUUGGUUAAGAGUGUGGAAUUGAUAAUGCCAAGGUUGCAGGUUUGAUCCCCAUAUGGGACA